GCCCAGCGCUGUGCACAGCUGUGCCUAAGAGGUGCCGGUCCCCUGCCUCCCGUCCGCCGAAGUCGCCUGGAAAUUCUGCACUGACGUUAACUGAAGGGAAGCCUGGACUCAAAUCAAGCCAAAGCCUUUGGAAGGUCUUGGACUAUAAAAAUGGAGUACCUGUGGGCAGCAGGCACCAGAGAGGCCGCCAAUGUGGAGGUCACAGUACUUGUCAUGAGACUGAUGGGACUCCGGUGGUGAGUACAGAGUGAAAAGCUUACCACUGAGCUAGCUUUGUGAAACAUUCACAGCUAGGGUUCAAGGAACCAAGACAAAGAAGAUAGCAGUAGAACAAAAGAAAAAUCCAAACAAAACCCAGCAAUUUAAAUGUAGUGGAAUGCAAAAGAGAAAAAGAGAUGAUCAUCAUCGGUCAGUAUUGGUGGAAGCAAGCUCCCCAAAGGAUUGAAAGCUGAUGCUCACAUACUGUGUGGAGAGCCAAGUUAUCACAGCUUUGCUGUUCAAGUUCUUCUUGGUUAGUGACUAAGCCAGUGUGGCACUGAUAACCCUGUGACAAAGGCUGGAGGCUUCAGAGACAGGAACGAAAGUGAAGAAAGUGUUCUCUGGAUUUGCCAGGUAGGAAGCAGUUGGUGACCUUUAAGAGCAUAGUUUCAGUUCUGCAGUGAAAAUGGAAGCAAGGUUGGAAAGAUUAAGAAAAGAAUAGGUAAGGAGAAAGUGUUGGCCAUGCAUGAAACACGGAAGUAAAAGAAUGGCAGCACAUAAAAAUAGAACCCUUGGUAUCAUCAGGCUCUGUGUCCUAGAAAACUGGAUCAACCUCCAUCCCUUUGCUGCUUGUCUCAUUUAAUGCAAUAAGUUAAAUUGUUUACAUUUAAAAAGUAGAAGGAUUUUAUUUGAAUAUGUGAAUAUAUUUACUAUAAUAAUAGGUUGUUUUUCUGUUCCCAGUGUAAUUGCAUUUCUUCACUUGUACCCUGGGGAUGUCUCCUUGCUCUUUGGAACUUCCCCUCUCCUCUGCCCUAAAACUAGACAGCUAGACAGUGAAUCAUCCAAAACAAAGGCUAAAAGUUUUUGAAAAUCUAUUGGUCUUAGUGUAAGUCAGAAAGAUUUAGAUGCAUACUUGUUGAGCAAGUUUUCCCACUUUCAGAGACUAAUCUGGUUUAGAGAUCCAAUUAUAGAUUCCCAAGGGAAGGGUAAGAGGAGAGGAAGAAGGUACCUCAAAAGAGAGGAAAAGCAGGGAGGGAAAAAGAAUAGGUCUCCCUAUGCCCAGGCUCCAUGCCUGUGGGAUAAUGGAAGCCAUUUAGUGUCCAGGUGUCCUUCCAUUGCGACCUGGUGAGGGCCACCUUGGACAGCCCUCCAUAUGUCACUCUGGAGCUUAGUUUGUGUAUUCCCAAGACCUUCCCAAGGACCCAUUGACUAACAAUGACCCCAGGUGAUAGGGCUCAACAUGGUGACAUAGACAAAGUUUAGGUAGAGUGACAGUAAAGUCAUCCAUGGGGCAGAGAAAGUGGUGAAAUACACUGCCCUGAGGUGUAUAUUUUUAUGAAUGGGUCUUCUCCAUGUACUGUACCUGUGAGGGCAAAGAUGAUUUAUCUGUCUCUCUCUCUCAUACUCAACAGCUGGAUAGUCUUUAGCACAGAACUUAACUGUUUGUUGAAUCAAUAAAUGAGGUAAUAGCUGAUUGAUGAGCACCUAAAGGUGAAAAUAUAUAUAGAAAGAGAAAAGAGAGUUAAAGAUGAUAGAAGAAGGAAUGAACAUUUGUACAGAGCUGAGAGGUGAUUGAGGAUGGAAAGACUGAAGGGUAGAUCUAUGUUCUUUCAGAGCCUGGACAAAAAGAGACGAGCAGACUGAUGCUUACUUUCUGAUAUGUUGGAAUAAAACAAUAACAACAACAACAACAACAACAUGUCCUUUAAUACCUAUAGUUAACACCACAUUUAUCUUCUUUAUAGUUCCAUUUCUGACCAUAAGACAUAUCUCACAAAGUGUUGACAAUUAAGAAAUAAUCUGAGAAUCUAUAAAAGAUAAAGGCACAGGGUUAUAGCUUAAGCUUUCUGUAUUCAUAUUUAGAAAAACAUGUCAUUGACAUCAUCAGAUAAUCUCCAUAAUCUGAAGGCAGAAUUGUUCUUUAAGAGUAUGUUCAAAUUACCAGGUAGAACUCCGUGCUCCCAUACUUUCAGGUAGCUUCAUAUUUAUUCAUUCACUAAUUUUUUCCUCUGCUUCAUUUUGUCACUCCCUUAGAGUUACACAUGAAACUCCCAUUGUGUGGGACACUAGAUGGAAGCUGAAAAUGCAAAGAUGACCAGACAUGGAAGUGCAUAUUCGCUAAUCAGUAACCAGCACUGAAGCCCAACUUACUGUGUUUCUGCCUGGCCUAACCUUGUGCUGACAGAUUUCAGCCCAAAUCAUUGAUUUCCAGUCUGCUUCAGCUCUUAGCCUACUCGGCCUGGUUACUCCAUCCAGAGCCCCAGGCUGGAAGCUGCUUGGCUCUUCCAAGGCUUUCUCUCAAGAACUGAGAUCUUGUGUUUUCUCCAGAAAACACAGCUAGACCCUGUGCUCUGAGUUGGCCUCAGUCUCAAUGUUGCUUUGCUCCAAUUAUUGUCCACUCAAGCCUUAUCUUGCCAUGACUGUUUGGAUGCUGGACGUUGACUACCUGAUCACUCUCCUUUAGGGCCAUUCUUUAGGAUCAAGCUUUCUCAUCCUUCCUCAUGGCAUCUCUUUCCUGCUUCAUGAAGUGUCUGGCUUUGAGGUCUCUCAGCAUGCCUCAGGCCAUAGUCUGCCUAAGGCUGCCUCUGCUCCCUGGCUCUGCCACAACCUGGCAGUGUCCCCAUUCUUGGGAAUACCUCUUUUGGCAGAGAAGCUUCCUUGGAUACUCUUCAGAUGGGAGGAAUGAUUUCUCCCUCUUAUCAGAGCUGGCCCAGUGCUGGGGACUCUAGGGCCUGCAAACAGAGUCACAAGGGAAAACUAAUGAGAUUGGAAAGAACAUAUUACUCAUCCAGUAACGCAUGAUGAGUAAAUCAAAUGCUAUGCGCCCAUUUCAAGGAAAAGUAUAAAAUUGGGAAUUAAAUAACUACUUAAUGGCAUUCUUUCUUUCUUUCUUUCUUUCUAUCUAUCUAUCUAUCUAUCUAUCAAUCUAUCAUCUAUCUGUCUAUUUUAGUAGGAGAUACAAAAAUGCAAUUCAGUGUUUCUCAGCUUCUUUUUUGAUCACUGAGUCAUGUUAAUACAUUUCAACAUAUGCUUUUUGGUAUGAAAAGAUAUUUCAUUUAUAACAUGACAAGGUUUGAGGAAAAUGUUUUCCUUACCUAACACUCUUUGAUUUAUCUAAGCUUUAGAGUUACUCUUGUUGGUGCAGUAAUGUUCCAUUAUGCCCCACAAUGUUGUGCAGCAUUCAAGAAGAACUGUUUAAAACAAGAAAAAGACAUCACAACAAAAACAAAUGGAGAAAACCUACUAAACUGCUUUAUUUUGGAGGUAAGUAAGGUAUUUCACAAUCAGUGUACUUAAUUUCAAAUAUAUAUUUUGAGAGAGGGUCUUGCUACAUAUUUCAGGCUAGCCUUGCACUUACUAUGUAGUUCAAAUUGGCUUCAAACUCACUGUGAUCCUCCUGCCUCAGCUUCCUGAGUGCAGGGAUUACACGCAUGCACCACCAAGAAUAGCUUUAUAUCUAUUUUUUUUUUU